rnacentral:rRNA from 1 species
UACGGAGGGUGCAAACGUUGCUCGGAAUCAUUGGGCGUAAAGCGCACGUAGGCGGCCCAGCAAGUCGGGUGUGAAAGCCCUCGGCUUAACCGAGGAAGUGCAUUCGAAACUACUGAGCUUGAAUACUGGAGAGGAUCGCGGAAUUCCCGGUGUAGAGGUGAAAUUCGUAGAUAUCGGGAGGAACACCAGUGGCGAAGGCGGCGAUCUGGACAGAUAUUGACGCUGAGGCGCGAAAGCGUGGGGAGCAAACAGG